UCAAUCUCGUGCGGCUAGAAGCCGCCUGUCCCUCUAAGAAGAGAUCAGUGUACGCCGGUAGUAAAAACCGCGAACGCCGCGGACCGAACGCACGCCGACCGGACGACGCGAGCCUUCCAGAUACCGGUUAGGGUUACGUCUAUUUAGCAGGCUAGAGUCUCGUUCGUUAA
rnacentral:rRNA from 1 species